UGCAGUGGGAUCAGAACCCUAGAGUGGGCAUGAAGAGGAGAAAAAACAAAUUCUGAAAUCACCAUGGAAACACUACAGAGGAAAGGAGAGUAGAGGAGGAGGAGGAGAGAUAAAAUAUUUUAGAGAACAUUUAUAAACAUUCCUUGUAAAGUUGAUAAACAAUCUUUGAAAGACACAGAAUCCAAAAUACAUACGAAGAUUAUGUGGAUUACAAAAGAAAGCACUGCUCAACUUGUAAGAGACCUUAAGUAUUUUCUAACAGUUGCUUGUAAGUUAAAUGUCUCUUCUUCCCAGCCUACGCAAAUGAUGCUCAUGUUUCCCUAAUCACAUCCAGUUGUAUUUACACAAAAUUUAAAUUUACUCCAUAUAAAGUAUUGUUCUUACUAUAAUGAUAAUAUUAAACUAAACCCCCUCCCCCUUAUCCCCUACCCCCUAAAUUUGAGAAAAGCUUGCCCUCUUUGUGAAAUGUAGAGAAAAGGCUUUCGCUCCCAUAAGCUUGGAAUCCACAUCGUGGCUUUGCAUAGAAUUCCAAGCCACUUCUCUAAGCCAUCUCUAGUUAAAAAUGGUUCUAUGAAAGCAAAUUCUUCCCUAGCGAAGCUGCUGGUUUGCAAGUGUGCUCCUGCGGCGCCCCCCCCUCCCUAGCUCCCUCUCCACUACCUCUCUGGAGCAAAGCAGUGGCCACUCUGGGCAAGCAGGCAGAAGCCACAGGGCACACAGGAGGGCGGGCGCAGGCUCUUCCUGGAUCUCCGGAGGAGACUUCUUCCUCCGCUCUGCCUGAUGAGGGCUGGGGGACCAGCGGAGGCGCGCCUGGGGAGAGCGUGCAGACGCCAUGGCCCCCGCUCCCGGAGAGUGGUUCCCCCUGGGUAGCCUGCAUGGCCCCUGCCUGCUUGUGCUUGGUCCUGGGAGCGCCUGCUUGAUCCUGCCGACAACAGGUGACCUGCGUGGGGAUGGCACUGUGGGCCAGCUGGACGCUGGCGCUUGAGGCUGGCAGAGGGCUCUGCUUGUCCCUGAAAGUUCCUGGGAGAACCCAGGAGUGGCAGGCUUCAUCCUUGUGCCUCAGCUGGUUUGCUGACCAAACCAGCUUAAUGUCUCAAUUAAAUGGUUGAAUACUUUUGAUGAGACAUUUUAGAACUUUUUUUUUUUAUGGGAACACCUAUCUUUUUAUUGAAGCUCGAUGUAGAUUUUGUUUUAAGGAAGCAUAUGCAGUUUGUCUUCAUCUUCCCUGGUUUCUUCAUACACAUUUCUAAAUUUCCCCACAGUUACCUGUGUUGAUUUUGAUGCUGUAUUCAUAACCCACUUGCAUUAGAUUUGCUUGGUUGAAUGUCAUUUUUCUCUCUUCUUGAAGAUUCUAUAAGGAGAGUGAUAAUUUUCUAAAGUAAUUAAUUAAUGUCUUAAUUGAGACAUUAAAUUUUCUUCUUCCACUGAUCCAGGACCCUAUCAGCUUUACCUGACUUCCUGGGAGGUACAGAACAAGGUACGUAUGGGGAUCCAGCAAUUCUGAAGACUACGCCAUGCCUCCAACAGAGGGCUUCUUGGGUUGAAAGUGUGUGGGUAACAUUUACCAUAACAAUAACUACCACAACUACAGCUAAUAAAUGCACUUAAGCAGA
rnacentral:lncRNA from 1 species